rnacentral:rRNA from 1 species
GGGUUGUGAGGUUAAGCGACUAAGCGUACACGGUGGAUGCCCUGGCAGUCAGAGGCGAUGAAGGACGUGCUAAUCUGCGAUAAGCGUCGGUAAGGUGAUAUGAACCGUUAUAACCGGCGAUUUCCGAAUGGGGAAACCCAGUGUGUUUCGACACACUAUCAUUAACUGAAUCCAUAGGUUAAUGAGGCGAACCGGGGGAACUGAAACAUCUAAGUACCCCGAGGAAAAGAAAUCAACCGAGAUUCCCCCAGUAGCGGCGAGCGAACGGGGAGCAGCCCAGAGCCUGAAUCAGUGUGUGUGUUAGUGGAAGCGUCUGGAAAGGCGCGCGAUACAGGGUGACAGCCCCGUACACAAAAAUGCACAUAUUGUGAGCUCGAUGAGUAGGGCGGGACACGUGGUAUCCUGUCUGAAUAUGGGGGGACCAUCCUCCAAGGCUAAAUACUCCUGACUGACCGAUAGUGAACCAGUACCGUGAGGGAAAGGCGAAAAGAACCCCGGCGAGGGGAGUGAAAAAGAACCUGAAACCGUGUACGUACAAGCAGUGGGAGCACGCUUAGGCGUGUGACUGCGUACCUUUUGUAUAAUGGGUCAGCGACUUAUAUUCUGUAGCAAGGUUAACCGAAUAGGGGAGCCGAAGGGAAACCGAGUCUUAACUGGGCGUUAAGUUGCAGGGUAUAGACCCGAAACCCGGUGAUCUAGCCAUGGGCAGGUUGAAGGUUGGGUAACACUAACUGGAGGACCGAACCGACUAAUGUUGAAAAAUUAGCGGAUGACUUGUGGCUGGGGGUGAAAGGCCAAUCAAACCGGGAGAUAGCUGGUUCUCCCCGAAAGCUAUUUAGGUAGCGCCUCGUGAAUUCAUCUCCGGGGGUAGAGCACUGUUUCGGCAAGGGGGUCAUCCCGACUUACCAACCCGAUGCAAACUGCGAAUACCGGAGAAUGUUAUCACGGGAGACACACGGCGGGUGCUAACGUCCGUCGUGAAGAGGGAAACAACCCAGACCGCCAGCUAAGGUCCCAAAGUCAUGGUUAAGUGGGAAACGAUGUGGGAAGGCCCAGACAGCCAGGAUGUUGGCUUAGAAGCAGCCAUCAUUUAAAGAAAGCGUAAUAGCUCACUGGUCGAGUCGGCCUGCGCGGAAGAUGUAACGGGGCUAAACCAUGCACCGAAGCUGCGGCAGCGACGCUUAUGCGUUGUUGGGUAGGGGAGCGUUCUGUAAGCCUGUGAAGGUGUGCUGUGAGGCAUGCUGGAGGUAUCAGAAGUGCGAAUGCUGACAUAAGUAACGAUAAAGCGGGUGAAAAGCCCGCUCGCCGGAAGACCAAGGGUUCCUGUCCAACGUUAAUCGGGGCAGGGUGAGUCGACCCCUAAGGCGAGGCCGAAAGGCGUAGUCGAUGGGAAACAGGUUAAUAUUCCUGUACUUGGUGUUACUGCGAAGGGGGGACGGAGAAGGCUAUGUUGGCCGGGCGACGGUUGUCCCGGUUUAAGCGUGUAGGCUGGUUUUCCAGGCAAAUCCGGAAAAUCAAGGCUGAGGCGUGAUGACGAGGCACUACGGUGCUGAAGCAACAAAUGCCCUGCUUCCAGGAAAAGCCUCUAAGCAUCAGGUAACAUCAAAUCGUACCCCAAACCGACACAGGUGGUCAGGUAGAGAAUACCAAGGCGCUUGAGAGAACUCGGGUGAAGGAACUAGGCAAAAUGGUGCCGUAACUUCGGGAGAA